UGAGAUGUUUAUCGCUAUGGAAUCACGUUCAAGAAGUCUCAUUCAGCACACAUCGCGAUACUUGCUAUCAGUUCCACAGUUUGGCUGAAAAGACGUAAAGGAAGCAGUCAGCCCAGUGGUGUUUCUGGAGAGGGAUUCCUUCAGAAAUGGAGAAGACAGAAAGCUGCGGAGGCAGACAUUUGCAGCAGAUUGUUUGCAGACAACACUGUAGUUCUCCAUCAUUCACAAGGACUCACCUCGUUAACUCUUUAUCCCCCACACACACAGAAAUGGUCCCUGGAUCAGUGAUUUGACUUUGCAGUGGUUUGAUUUUUGUAGAAGAUGUAACUUUGGUUUAAUUAUAAGCUCAUAAUGAAUACAUUACAGAACCAGUGAUGAAAACAAUAGUUAAAAAUAGUAUUUUUCGUAUUGAUAAAGCAUUGUGUUCUCUUUUUCAAGCUUCAUACAGUAAACUUUACUUGUUCUCAUCAGGAGUUUCAGUAAAGGAGAUAUUCAUACACAGUCAUCCCCUAGUUCCAGUCAUGAAGUGAAUUCAUGAUGUAAUUGUCAAAGGUAGCAGGUGUUUGUUUUCCUGAACACUUUCUCUGUCUUCCAUUGUUCGGACAAACAGUGUUUAUUUGAUGCUGUGCUAAUAGAGUUUUAUAGAUGAUAUUGCACACUUGACAUGAAUGUCUUCAUGAUGUUUUUUAUGAGUUUGAAACAUUUACAUUGUGUUGUAUAACAUUUUGGUCAAUUUAAUUUUUAAGAAAAUUGAUCUUUUUCCAGUGUUCUCUGAAAGAAAUACUGUUUUUACAGUUUUGUUUUUUAAUAAAAGCAUUUUCAUUUGCAUA